AUGGCGACGGCUCCACCACCAGCACCAUCCCUCCCGCCGCUGCCCGCCGGUCGCCGCCUCGCCUCCGCCGUCCGAAGCUUCCCGCCGUGCUGCGGCCGCCAGCAGGGCAAUGCGGCCCAGCCACCCCGCCGCCCGGCCCCCGUCCCCUCCGCCGCCAACGACCCACCACCGCGCAACCCCUACGCGCGCGCGGCCACCAAACCCUCGUCACCCCCCGCCGCGGCUCGCCUCCCCGGGGCCAAGGGGCACGAUCGCGGCGAGGCGGACGGGCCGAUGGCCGGGACCAGGGCUCCGGCGGCCGCGGAGGUGGUCACGCGCCGCCUCUCGGCCGUGCGGAGGUACCCUCCGGGCUGCGGGAGGGUCGUCGCGGCGCCCAAGCCAGAGGCCCCGGUGGCGGUGGCGCGAGAGGAGGACGCCGGCGCUAUCGACCUGCUGGCGGCGGUGUGCGACGUGGAGGCCGAGGCGCUCGCCGCUGAUCGGAAGGCCGACGGCUCUGAUGGUGAGGGGAAGGGUGGAGGAGACGGUGACGGCGCGCUGGCGGGGUGCGGCAGCCCUGGCCCGCCGCGGGACAUGGCCGAGAUCGCGCUGGUGCCGUGGGCGCAGUACGGGCAGAGGUCGCAGCAGCGGCGCAAGUCUUUUGAGGGGGGACUGUGA
rnacentral:rRNA from 1 species